rnacentral:rRNA from 1 species
AUUGAACGCUGGCGGCAUGCUUUACACAUGCAAGUCGAACGGCAGCACGGGUGCUUGCACCUGGUGGCGAGUGGCGAACGGGUGAGUAAUGCACCGGAACGUAUCCAAUAAUGGGGGAUAACGCAGCGAAAGCUGUGCUAAUACCGCAUACGCCCUGAGGGGGAAAGCGGGGGAUCGCAAGACCUCGCGUUAAUGGAGCGGCCGAUGCCGGAUUAGCUAGUUGGUGGGGUAAAGGCUCACCAAGGCGACGAUCCGUAGCUGGUCUGAGAGGACAACCAGCCACACUGGGACUGAGACACGGCCCAGACUCCUACGGGGGGCAGCAGUGGGGAAUUUUGGACAAUGGGCGCAAGCCUGAUCCAGCCAUGCCGCGUGAGUGAAGAAGGCCUUCGGGUUGUAAAGCUCUUUCGCAAGGAAAGAAAACUUAGCCACUAAUACUGGCUGAGGAUGACGGUACCUUGAUAAGAAGCACCGGCUAACUACGUGCCAGCCGCCGCGGUAAAAC